CGGACGGGUGAGUAACGCGUAGGAAUCUACCUGGUAGUGGGGGACAACAUGGUGAAAACCAUGCUAAUACCGCAUACGCCCUACGGGGGAAAGCGGGGGACCUUCGGGCCUCGCGCUAUCGGAUGAGCCUGCGUUGGAUUAGCUUGUUGGUGAGGUAAAAGCUCACCAAGGCGACGAUCCAUAGCUGGUCUGAGAGGAUGAUCAGCCACACUGGAACUGAGACACGGCCCAG
rnacentral:rRNA from 1 species